CCUACGGGUGGCAGCAGUGAGGAAUAUUGGUCAAUGGACGAGAGUCUGAACCAGCCAAGUAGCGUGAAGGAUGACUGCCCUAUGGGUUGUAAACUUCUUUUAUAUGGGAAUAAAACGUUCCACGUGUGGGAUUUUGUAUGUACCAUAUGAAUAAGGAUCGGCUAACUCCGUGCCAGCAGCCGCGGUAAUACGGAGGAACCGAGCGUUAUCCGGAUUUAUUGGGUUUAAAGGGAGCGUAGGUGGAUUGUUAAGUCAGUUGUGAAAGUUUGCGGCUCAACCGUAAAAUUGCAGUUGAAACUGGCAGUCUUGAGUACAGUAGAGGUGGGCGGAAUUCGUGGUGUAGCGGUGAAAUGCUUAGAUAUCACGAAGAACUCCGAUUGCGAAGGCAGUUCACUGGACUGCAACUGACACUGAGGCUCGAAAGUGUGGGUAUCAAACAGGAUUAGAUACCCCAGUAGUC
rnacentral:rRNA from 1 species